rnacentral:rRNA from 1 species
GAUGAACGCUAGCUACAGGCUUAACACAUGCAAGUCGAGGGGUAGCAGGGUAGCAAUACCGCUGACGACCGGCGCACGGGUGAGUAACACGUAUCCAACCUUCCCAUAACUCUGGGAUAGCCUUUCGAAAGAAAGAUUAAUACCGGAUGGUACUUUUUCAAGGCAUCUUGAGAAAGUUAAAGAUUUAUUGGUUAGGGAUGGGGAUGCGUUCCAUUAGAUAGUUGGUGAGGUAACGGCUAACCAAGUCUUCGAUGGAUAGGGGUUCUGAGAGGAAGGUCCCCCACAUUGGUACUGAGACACGGACCAAACUCCUACGGGAGGCAGCAGUGAGGAAUAUUGGUCAAUGGGCGAGAGCCUGAACCAGCCAAGUAGCGUGAAGGAUGAAGGUCCUAUGGAUUGUAAACUUCUUUUAUAGUAGAAUAAAGUGACCCACGUGUGGGUUUUUGUAUGUAUACUAUGAAUAAGGAUCGGCUAACUCCGUGCCAGCAGCCGCGGUAAAAC